rnacentral:rRNA from 1 species
AAUCACGCUGAAACACCGGUUCUCGUACGAUCACCGAAGUUAAGCAUCGUAGAGCCAGGUCAGUACUUAGAUGGGGGACCGCUUGGGAACACCUGGUACUGUAAG